rnacentral:rRNA from 1 species
GAUGAACGCUGGCGGCGUGCUUAACACAUGCAAGUCGUACGGUAAGGCCCUUUCGGGGGUACACGAGUGGCGAACGGGUGAGUAACACGUGAGUAACCUGCCCACAACUUUGGGAUAACGCUAGGAAACUGGUGCUAAUACUGGAUAUGUGCUCCUGCUGCAUGGUGGGGGUUGGAAAGCUCCGGCGGUUGUGGAUGGACUCGCGGCCUAUCAGCUUGUUGGUGGGGUAGUGGCCUACCAAGGCGGCGACGGGUAGCCGGCCUGAGAGGGUGGCCGGCCACAUUGGGACUGAGAUACGGCCCAGACUCCUACGGGAGGCAGCAGUGGGGAAUAUUGCACAAUGGGCGCAAGCCUGAUGCAGCAACGCCGCGUGCGGGAUGACGGCCUUCGGGUUGUAAACCGCUUUCAGCAGGGACGAAGCUUUUUGUGACGGUACCUGCAGAAGAAGCACCGGCUAACUACGUG